AAGGAAUUUUCGGCAAUGGGCGCAAGCCUGACCGAGCAACGCCGCGUGCGGGAUGACGGCCUUCGGGUUGUAAACCGCUUUUCGGGGGGACGAUAGUGACGGUACCCCCGGAAUCAGCCCCGGCUAACUCUGUGCCAGCAGCCGCGGUAAGACAGAGGGGGCAAGCGUUGUCCGGAGUAACUGGGCGUAAAGCGCACGCAGGCGGCUGCGCACGUGGAGUGUGAAAGCGCUCGGCUUAACCGAGCGAGGCCAUUCCAUACGGCGCGGCUCGAGCCGUGCAGAGGCUAGUGGAAUUGCCGGUGGAGUAGUGAAAUACGUAGAUACCGGCAGGAACGCCAAUGGAGAAGUCAACUAGCUGGGCACGUGCUGACGCUGAGGUGCGACAGCGUGGGGAGCAAA
rnacentral:rRNA from 1 species